CACUAAUUUUACCCCCUUUGAUCUAUCGACCUCCGGAACUGCGUUGGUCCGUGCGUGAAGUAGGGUUCUUAUCUCGGUUUUCUCGAGAAAUUUGAUGUUCUUGAAAUUCUGUGUGAGAAUUUUAGGAUUAGAUAAUUAGGAGAUGCACAUGUGGCGUAUGUAGUGUGGGGCUGUGAUGGUUGCUUUGUCUUAGAAAAUGCACUUGGGCAUGAUGAUGUUUAGGGUUUAGGGCACUGAGCGAUUGAUAUCUGAUAUCUGAUAUGUUCCUGAUACAGGGGAAUUUUUAGGAUGUACCCCCUCUGUUCCAAAUUAUAAGGUGUUCUAACUUUGUCCUAUGUCAAAUUUCUUAAAGUUUGACCAAGUUUAUAGAAAAAAUCUACCAACAUUACAACACUAAAUUAGUUUUAUUAAAUCCGUCAUGAUAUAUUCUUCUGUCUUCAUGGUAUACUUAUUUAAAUUUUUUACUUAGGACAAAACUAGAACAUCUUAUAAUUUGAAACGGAGGGAGUAUGAGAAAUGAACGCUAAAGCAAGUGUAGAUAGUUAGUUCUGGUUUGGAUUCUUGUCAAUACAACCACUCUCACUAAGCAUCUCACGGUUUGCUUGCUGAUAACGUUAUGUUGUGGUAGUUUGAUUGGCAACAAAUUGUUUAUCGGUGACUUGUCUGCUGUGGUGUCCUUAAUUUACGGCGUAAAUUUACCUUAUCACGUGCUCUCUGUUACACUGAUUGAAAAUCUCUAUGAAGCAUAGGGUCAAGAAAUAAAAUGCUGAUUCUAUCAAGAUUUGUUCAUCAUUAGGAUUCCGUGCCUUUUGGGAAAACUCUUGUCUUGAAAAAAGGAAGAAUCGGUGAUCGAUGGCGUCAUGCGGCGAUAGCUUAGGUCUUCAGGAGUCAGAUAGGACGACACGUCGGGCCGGGUCAAUUGGUGGAGCAACACACAGGCAGAGGGCAGGCGAGACUAACGCAUUCAGUCUCACGUCAUGGAUAUCAGGAUUCGAGAUGAUUAGAUGAACAGGGUAAGUAGGAGCCCUUAGGAGGGAGACUAACAUGCACAGCCGAACAGGGAACAGAUCGAUCGAGGUUUGUGAGUCUCUCGUAUGACGGUAAUCAUGGUACGAUGCUGGGAAACAGAUAGAUUGAUCCUAUGUGGCUAUUGACUGGAUCGAUGGACAAUGGAGUCUUGUAUCUACGGGACUGGGCUGUGGUGGUGCACACCUAACAAGAGAAGUGGAGGGCGGCCUGGACAGGACACGGAUGUCUAGCCUUUUAUUUUAUUUUAUCUAAUUAAGCUUGUACUUAAUGAAACUUAAAUGUAUUUUUGGGGCCCUCCCCAAUUUAUUUGGGGCCCUGUUCUGUUGCACAGCUCGCACAAGGCCAUCGGUGGCCCUGACCAUUCCUGAUACCUGACGGAAAUUUGUGGUGGUUUUCUUUUCUCA